rnacentral:rRNA from 1 species
AUACGGAGGAUCCAAGCGUUAUCCGGAUUUAUUGGGUUUAAAGGGUGCGCAGGCGGAAGAUUAAGUCGGCGGUGAAAUUUUGCAGCUCAACUGUAAAAGUGCCAUCGAUACUGGUUUUCUUGAGUGUGGAUGAAGUAGGCGGAAUUUGUGGUGUAGCGGUGGAAUGCAUAGAUAUCACGAGGAACUCCGAUUGCGCAGGCAGCUUACUAGGCCAUAACUGACGCUCAGGCACGAAGGCGUGGGGAUCAAACAGGAUUAGAUACCCUGGUAGUCCACGCAGUAAACGAUGAUUACUCGCUGUUUGCGAUACACAGUAAGCGGCUUAGCGAAAGCGUUAAGUAAUCCACCUGGGGAGUACGUUCGCAAGAAUGAAACUCAAAUGAAUUGACGGGG